UUUUAAUUUCAUAUAUAUUUAAUAUAGUGAGUCGUGCCUCUUUAAACAGGAGCGAUGAAUUUCAAACUGAACUACUGACUUUAGUCACAAACAUGAGCGAGCACCUCGCACGUCUGAGAGCAGUCACUACAUUCAACCUCUCAAAUGCAUAUUUGUGUAAAUAAAUGUAAUUUAGCACCUUAAUCAAAAAUAAUAUUGAUGAACUUUAAUAUUUUUCAGAGCUUGUGCGUGCUCGUGGGUUACCUGUUACAGAAACAACAAAUCACAACAACAGAUGCCUCAGGUGCUUUUAUAUUGUAAGACCUGCUAUAACACACAGAAAACAAUGUUUUAAUAAUUAGCAUUACUGUUAGCUGUGGCAGAAACCCGGCUGUGAGUGGGCCUCUGCGUGGACUCCAGGAGCACAGGUGACAGAUUUACUUUAGACCAACGUGUUUUUAAAUCAUGACGACACAUUUUACAGCAGCAGAAACACAAAAACGUCACAUUGACGUGUUUGUGUGUAAACCUAAAAACACACCGUCAGAGAGUGUGACAGGUCUGCUGAGCUCUGAUUGGCGCUUUAAGGCAGGUGUGCUUUUAUUUUUAAAGGGCAGUCAUCCAAACAGGAAGUGGUUUCUCCUCAGCACAGCUGCAAAAUGCUGCUGAAAUACUUUGGUUUGACACUUUGUGUUUAUCUGUGAAUGGAAAUGCAGAACAGCUCUUCGCAGCACGCACAGCGUCUCCAGCCUCAGAAAUCUGACCGAUGUGAUUUUUAAACCUGCGAGACGCCCUCAUGACACACGCGCAAACACCACGUCCGUGGAUUUCAGUGAUUCUUGAGAUAAGGGACAAAACACGUCCGCCGAUAAAACCCGAUUUUGGGGUUAAAAAUAUGCACACAAGUGUUAACCCAGCUGACUAAGAGACAAACCAAGGCAAUGUUUACACAACAAAAGUAUGAUUUUGUGUUUUGUUAUGCAUAUAUAUUUACUUUAAAUGGUACAAUACAUUACCAGUACCCUAAAAAUCCACUGUCCACAAGCAGGUGUGAUGAUAUUAAAACAGAGAGAAAAAUGAACAGUAAUGUAAAAUGAAACAUCAAGUCACUAAGUAUUUAAGUCAAUACCUUAUUUAAUAUCAAAAUGUACACCUGAAAUUUAUUUUUGCAUAUUUUAAGUGAUUAAAAUCGUGUCCAGAGUUUUUGUCAACACCAUCAGAUUUUUUAAAAAAGUACAAAAAAAUCAGGAAUGAUUGUGGGCAGCUUACACUCUGAGGACCCCUUUACCACUUCCUGUUCGAUACACAUGCCGUGGUGAGUUUUUUUGUUUUAAUUUCAUUUAUGGCACAACUUUGUGAUAAAACUGCGUCACAGCCACAGGGCAUGUAAUCUGUAAUCUGUAGUGGAAUACAUUUGAAAAGUAACCUUCCCAACGCUUCCACCGUCAACACCUUAUCAACUCCAAAAUUCUGGGUUUUUGUUUAUUUUUCCCUUUUGAAGAACCAUAUGUUUUGCUCCCUCAUGAUAUUCCAAUAAAAAAAGUUAAUUUUCUCAAUAAAUGUGUAAUUUUCAUGCUGCUAAAUAUGAUUGUUUCUUAUAGAGAUUAAAUACAAGCUUCUGAAAAUAUGUACGACUGUAACUCUAAUAACAAAAAGCCAAACAAUCUUACUUUUAAAUGUGGUUUAAUUAGUUUGAAAGCAUAAACAGUAGAACAGAGAAGCUGCUAAAAGUCAAACUAGCUGAAACACUUUAUUUAAAAUAUAUAUUUUGCAUUUCUUUGUGUCUGAUGGUGUUGACAAAAACGUUGCACUUCUCCAGCAAAAACAUAAAUUAUUAAAAAAUGUUACACCUGGGAGACCAAAACAUGGUGAGACGGCCAAAACUUUGUGUAACAAUUAUAUGUAAAUAUGAUUUUGAAAAAUCAAAAAUAUUUUUUAGAAAAUUAAAACCUGUUUUGUCCCUAAUCUCAGGCAUCACUGACAAAACACGCAGAAACUCAAAGUGUCCAAAGACUGAAUGAGUCAGUCAUGAAACAAAAUCAGCAUCAGAAAAAUUAUUAUUUAAAAAUCAACAAUGAAUAUGUGAGAAGCAUCAUCAUCAUCAUCAUCAUCAUCACGACACACGCACAUAAAUGUAUCACGCCUCCUCGGCCUGUGAACCUCGUUAUUUCUCUGCUUUCACUUCCUGUCAGGUCAGCGAUCGUCUGUCACACUUUCUACAAAAACGAGCCCAAAAAUGUAAUUUCUCAGGCACAAUUUCAAAAUAAGAGCCCAAACAACCAAACAUCUCUCAGAGGAAUCCCCCCCAACCAUCCACCCACUGCCUAACUCUUGUUGUGGGUGGGGCUCAGCCAGGAGAAAAACUGGGCAGAUGAGGAGGAAGUGGAGGAGGUGGAGGCAGCGAUGCGGGGGCCGUGAGUCUCCCUCCUGGAGGGACAGCAGGUGGAGGUGAGCGUGAGCAGUACGAGUCUCCUGAAUCCUGCAGAUUAAGAUUUCAGAUUAAAA
ensembl:lncRNA